rnacentral:rRNA from 1 species
UACGGGGGGGGCAAGCGUUGUUCGGAAUUACUGGGCGUAAAGGGUUUGUAGGUGGCCUGCUAAGUCAGACGUGAAAUCCCUCAGCUUAACUGGGGAACUGCGUCUGAGACUGGUAGGCUCGAGGACAGGAGAGGAACGCGGAAUUCCAGGUGUAGCGGUGAAAUGCGUAGAUAUCUGGAGGAACACCGGUGGCGAAGGCGACAUCCUGGACCGGUAUUGACGCUGAGGCGCGAAAGCCAGGGGAGCAAACGGG